rnacentral:tmRNA from 1 species
GGGGCUGUAAAGGCUUCGACGGGGGAGUUCAAUCAGGAAAAGCGGGUAGAGGAUGACACUUAUCUCUGAAACGAUGUGUCAACGUUUAUAAAUUUAAACGACGAAGAACCUAUGUUAAUGGCUGCCUAACUGAUGCCCUUCGGGGCUGACGUUAGACAGUUGCGGGUCAAUUAAGUACCCGCCGCCCGGCAUACGCUCACCGCGCCGUAUGCCCGGCGAAACCCAAGCGGUCAACCUCACCGCCCGAUUUUCGUAGGGCGUGUGUUGUAACACGGAAUACCCGAAGCUCUGCCCGUCUGUCGGCGUAGUUUCGGGGAAACAAAAAAGGCAGUCUGCACCCGGAGAAAUUCCCGACGCCGCUCUCUCGGACACGGGUUCGAUUCCCGUCAGCUCCAGCC